rnacentral:rRNA from 1 species
CUCAAUGAAAUUAAAUGGCCGCAAUACUUAUUGUGCUAAGGUAGCAUAAUCAUUUGUUUUUUAAUUAAAAACUAGAAUGAAAGAUUUAACAUUUCAAUUUCCCUCUCAUAUAUAUAUCAUUAAACUUAUUUUAAAUAUAAAAAAAUAUUUAUAAUAAAAAAAGACGACAAGACCCUAUUGAACUUAACUUAAGUUAAACUGGGGUAGUUAAUUAAAUAUAACUUUAAUUUAAACUCACAAAAAACCUAAUACAAUUAAAACAAUCAAGUUACCUUAGGGAUAACAGCGUAAUAAUUUUUUAAAGAUCUUAUUAAAAAAAUUGCUUGCGACCUCGAUGUUGAAUUAUUAUUCUAUUAAAUGCAAAAAUUUAAUUAUGAGAGUCUGUUCGACUU